rnacentral:lncRNA from 1 species
AUAACCAACAAUUUUAUCGAUAUUGCUUUUUUCGCAGUAUCACUCUACUAUUCAUAUUGUUUUAAAAAUAUCAAUAUCGAUAUCAAAAAUGGCAUGUAAAAGAUCUAAAGAUAAACCUUCGGAAUGCAACAGCUUUCUUCAAAGCUCUAAACGGAUGGGCCAAGUUGCAACGCACAUUCUUACUGCAGAAUCAGAAGUAGAAAUUGAUUUUAAUACAUCAAAAA